GGUACGCAAAGUCCGAUAAAUUCCCUCGAGUCACUUCAGUCUGUGUCGGUCGAGGCUGAAGACGAAGGCGAUGAAAAAGUUUGAAAAUGUGGAAAAAAAAUCUGGAUGUGCGGAGUUAAAAUGAAGUGAGGUUACAAGAUCUCUGUAGCGGCUAGCAGCUCCAGGCUACAUUAGCCGCUACUAGCAUAACACACCCAAACCUCCCACCAAACUGUCAGCAGUCAAGCUGUGUUGUGAGUAAUGUAGGAGCCAGAUUUUGACAAGAAGAAUGUGUGUAAUAAAAAAAGACCAUAUUUCUGGUUCUGCUGCUGAUUUUUUGAUCCUCUUAUUUAAACUAUUAUCUAAAUUGCUGGAUUACUCUUUUAAAGGAGUAAAUCUUUAGCUUAAGGAUGAACACCAGUCAGGUCGGUUUUUUUAGUUGUCUCAACCUGCAACGUCAGUCCGAAGUGCUACAGUUUAGUUUAUGGAAACUCAGUUACGGUAGUCAGAAACUGAAAUGUGUGCACAAGAGAGAAAGAAAGAGGAGACGAGCAUUUCCAUGAUACAUUGUGUGCAAAGUCUCAUGUACUUUUUCCACAGGAACUGUAGCAAACCGUGGUAGAAAUGCGGGGAAUGCUGCAGAACAGAGAAGAGAAGAUUCACUCUGCAUUGUUCAAGGCCCGUUCCGCUCCGUCUCUCCUGUAAACAGCCGUCGAGGGAGGAGAAACCCGAUAGCCUCACUUAGCUCUGAUCUGCUCUAACUGCAGAGAUCACAGACGGAGGGAUGGAGGGAAGAGGGAGAGAGGUUACACAAUGAGUAGAAGUGAAUGCUUUUCUUUUACCUUGAAGAGAUGUUGAACAUUUUACGUUGUCAUGUUAAGAUGAGAAGAUGAAGCUUCUUCUGCAAAGCAAAGAAGCUGCUUUAGUUAGACAAUAUUAACUGUAAGUGCUCUGUUAGUAUUAUAUAUGCAACACUUACAAAAGUCUAUAUUUUCAGGGAGUUUCCUUCUGCAAGAACUAUUCUACACUGGUGUGAAAUGUUCUAUUAACAGUCACGUUGAGGACUAGAUUUUAGUUCAGUUUAGUUAGAAAAUAAAUGACUUUAAUCAUCUUCCUUUUACCUUCUGUUAAAAAUA